GGGCCGGUAGAUCAACAGUAGAUCGCCGCCCUUGCAAGGCGGAGGCUUCGGGUGCGAAUCCCGACCGGUCCA
rnacentral:tRNA from 1 species